rnacentral:rRNA from 1 species
GAUGAACGCUGGCGGCGUGCCUAAUACAUGCAAGUCGAGCGAACGGACGAGAAGCUUGCUUCCCUGAUGUUAGCGGCGGACGGGUGAGUAACACGUGGAUAACCUACCUAUAAGACUGGGAUACUUCGGGAAACCGGAGCUAAUACCGGAUAAUAUUUUGAACCGCAUGGUUCAAAAGUGAAAGACGGUCUUGCUGUCACUUAUAGAUGGAUCCGCGCUGCAUUAGCUAGUUGGUAAGGUAACGGCUUACCAAGGCAACGAUGCAUAGCCGACCUGAGAGGGUGAUCGGCCACACUGGAACUGAGACACGGUCCAGACUCCUACGGGAGGCAGCAGUAGGGAAUCUUCCGCAAUGGGCGAAAGCCUGACGGAGCAACGCCGCGUGAGUGAUGAAGGUCUUCGGAUCGUAAAACUCUGUUAUUAGGGAAGAACAUAUGUGUAAGUAACUGUGCACAUCUUGACGGUACCUAAUCAGAAAGCCACGGCUAACUACGUG